rnacentral:rRNA from 1 species
UUUGCACAAUGGGGGAAACCCUGAUGCAGCCAUGCCGCGUGUGUGAAGAAGGCCUUCGGGUUGUAAAGCACUUUCAGUAGGGAGGAAGGUAGUGUAGUUAACACCUGCACAUUUGACGUUACCUACAGAAGAAGCACCGGCUAACUCCGUGCCAGCAGCCGCGGUAAUACGGAGGGUGCGAGCGUUAAUCGGAAUUACUGGGCGUAAAGCGCAUGCAGGCGGCCUGUUAAGUCAGAUGUGAAAGCCCGGGGCUUAACCUCGGAAUUGCAUUUGAAACUGGCAGGCUAGAGUCUUGUAGAGGGGGGUAGGAAUUUCAGGUGUAGCGGUGAAAUGCGUAGAGAUCUGAAGGAAUACCAGUGGCGAAGGCGGCCCCCCUGGACAAAGACUGACGCUCAGAUGCGAAAGCGUGGGGAGCAAACAGGAUUAGAUACCCCUGGUAG